ACACACACACACACACACACACACACACACACACACACACCAGGGAGUUUAGAGCAGAUUACUACUACCACUUCACUGGGAAUGUAUCUGUACUGGAUAAGCAGACCUUUCAGGGAACAUCUGUCUACUUAGAGUGAUGCAGGAAGUCUCCCCAUGUAGGAAAUGCUCUGGACUGUGGAGAGGAGGAAAGAAUUCACCCAUCUUCCCCACAGGCAGCAUCGCCUGGUUAAUGAAGAGCAUUAAGAGCACUGUCAAACUUUUUUUCCUGACUCUGAAAUCUGUCUUGGCUCCUUGCCAAGAAUUGAAGAUCAAAAAGGACCAUCAGGUGACCUAGAGUGACCCAUCUUGCCCAGGGGCUAAAGCAUGAGGAGUCAGCUUCUAGACACAGCAUGGCCACGUGAACCCUUCAGUGUGUAUGUACCUGUGUCCUUGUGUUUCAGGGUGAACUCCCCUGUCCCCUUCUCGUAAUAGGCUCUCACUUAAAGUUGUUUAUUGAAUGGUGUCUCCCCACCACCACAGGGACUGAAUGAAGCUUGUACUCCUUGCUUUUGCAGGGCUUCAGUGACCAGGAGGACUUUUGGGCACAGUGGCAUUGCCGUGCACACCUGGUAUGCGUGUCCGGCAUUGAUCAAGUCCAUUUGGGCGAUGGCUAUUAGCCAGCAUCAGUUCUAUCUGGACAGAAAGCAGAGUAAGGUAAGCCACCAGACCUUCUACCAGGCGGCUAACUGGGCCUCAAGGCAGCAGUGUAGGGAUGGAAUUAGAUGGGUAGAGGAGGAGGGAGGGGCUGUGUCCUUGGCCUGAGACCUAUCUGGGUAAGGCCUUGCCUCUUGGGGCUGCAGGUAGGAAGAACAUCAGAAAAUCUUUAAGAGGCCAUGCUGGGUGCUACCUAGCAGGGUACAUACAACUCAGGGUACAACCCAGCCACCACCAGAGGUGCUUAAGCCUCAGGUACAGACCCAGGGAAUUCUGAACAUACUUUCGGGGCCUCUGGAGACUCUCUUAAUAAGUUCUCACACCCUUACCUAUAUUUAAACAGUGGUAUAUUGUUUUCUUUGGGGUGAGAGUGCAGAUAACCAUCCCCACCACACCGACAGGAAUAACCGCUCAGGGAAAUUGCUGUGAAAAGCCCUCCAGCCUUUCCCACCUGCCAACUCUGUUUUUAAAAUGUAAAGCUGGAAAAGUGAAAAGGAAAACAAAACAGAAGCAACACCAGCUCUGACUCCCUCUGGUAGACCUGGAGCCAGGGGCCUUGGGAGCCUGCCAUCUCUGCACCCAGGAGGUUCAUCCACCCCCAGCCUGAAGGGCCAGCUGUGCUCUCUGGUGGGUGGGAGAACCACACACUUUUGGUUCACAUAGGGCUUACAACAACACACCAGCCCUCUUUCUCCACCUGGCUUCCCUUCCUUCUUUUCCAGGGACCCCACAGGCCACUCCCACUCAGGGGAUCUCCGAAGGGGCCCUGAUGUGGAGAAGGCUGUAAGCCUGCAGUAGGAUUCUACAGGCUUCAGGUCAUGGGAACACCGGGCAAGAUCAGCCUUGGCCCCUCUGGUGGCUCCCAGCAGCCAUAGAAGUUGCCUCCCCCUGUUCCCAGGGGCAGGUGGCAGUUAAUGCAUCAGGGUGAUUGGACUGGUGGUACCCUCUGGGCUCUUGUUCCUUUGCUGUGGGGUUUCUCUUUCCUAUGGAGAGAAAGCAGGAAUUGAAAGUAACAUAACUUGCAACUAGUAAAAGGAAACUGGCAGAAAUGCCCCCCCCCCCCCGCCCGGCCCAGUUCACUUCCAAAUCAUGGCCUGUCCCCAUCACAGCCACCAUCUGCUUUGUAAAGAAUUUAUUGGGUUUUUUUUAGUCUUUCUGACCCCUUUAUUUAGUCCCUUUUGGGGUGACCAAGUCUGAAGGUGUGUGUGGUGUUCUUGUGGCUGGAAAUCAUGAGUGUAUCCUACACUCGUCUAGUGGCGACGGGCCUUAGCACAAGCCUGUGAAGCUUGGUUAGGUCAAAAGAAACAGGGCCACGGGGGUUUGACUCAUGGUAGAUGUUGAGACAGUGGGUGGGGGUUGGUGCCUUGCUCUCUGGUAGAUAGCAUUAGAGGUCAACACCCACAAACAUGGGUGGGUUAUAACGGUUGGAAGAUGGAAUGUUUCUCCUGAAUUCCCAGUGUCCGUGACUCUUAAGGGUAGAAUCCUACCCCACCCUCAAAUUCUAAUGCCAUAGUUUGCAAUGGAGACAGGAAGUAGCCUAUGUCACCCACAGGAUAGUGUAGUGUCAGCGGCUGGCUUGGUCCUCUUCCCCAGGCUGGUGGUUUUUGUUUUGGGGUUUUUUUGGUUGUUUUUUGUGUUUGUUUUCAGUUUCCUGAGUGUCUCAAGUAGUCUAUUCUUGGGGUUCUUUACACACACACACAAAUGCCUAUGAGAAGUCUUUAGUAGACUUCCAGUUAGCCACAAUGGAUACAGUAAGCGAAGCCCAGGAAGAAAUGAUCACCAAUCCUUUUUUAACAGGAAGCAUUAUUAAGAGACAAACCAAGGGCUGGAGAGAUAGCUCAGUGGUUAAGAACACUGGCAGCUCUUCCAGAUCAGGGUUCAGUUCCCAGCACCUACAUAGCACUUCAUAACUCCCUCUGACUCCAGUUCCAGGGCGUCUGACAAUCUCACACAGAUGUAUAUGCAGGAAAUAGAAGAAUGCACAUAAAAUAAAAAUAAAUUAUGAGAGAGAGAGAGAGAGAGAGAGAGAGAGAGAGAGAGAGAGAGAAAGAGAGAGAGAGAGCAAGAGAGAGACCCAACUAUAGGAGGUGGCCCAAACCUGUAAUUCUAGCUCUUGAGAGGCAAAGACAGGGAGACUGCUUCUUCAGGGCAAGCCUAAUCUAUAUAGAAAGUUCUAGACUAGCUAAGGUUACUUACUUAGUGAGACUGCCU
rnacentral:lncRNA from 1 species